GUUUAAAAGGGAAACCCUAAUGCCGCCUCAUUUUCUUGCCGCCACCCCAUCAUGGCAGUCAAAAAAGAAAAGUUUUUAAGCCAUAUCAGGCCUUUGCAGUCAAUGUUAGUCCAAUUUGGGCAAAGCAUUUAAUGUUUUUCCCUCUCUCCACCUCUACUCAACCAAACAAGUUUCGAGGAGAAGCAAGGAUUUCAACUCCAAAUCUUGACCAAGGUUGCGCAUAAGAAAGGUGGACCGGGAGAUAGACUUGACCCAUAGACUGCAUAGAGGAGCUCCAUUUGAUUCAGAGCCGCAGCUGUUGGUACAAUUCUUUUGUGUAUAUACAUAUGGGCAUGGCGGGGCCCUGUCCCCUCCUUAUGAUGAUGUUCAUACUGUCCUUAGAGGCUCGUAGACAGUCAUGUAUAGUAGAUGUAUUUUUGCCUUAUCGACUCAUAUUUUGGGAUGUUAUUUUGUCAGCCUCGUCGGCUUGUGUAUAUGUAUAUGGGCAAAGUUGUAAAUGUUGAUAUAAAAAGAGUUUUAGCCGUUGGAAAUGGUAUUAUUGAGGUAUAGAGUUGUUGAUAAACCAUGUGGCUCAACUAGACAUGAAUGUGAAUGUACGAUGAGAGGUGCCCGAUGGGUUAGCUCCGGGUGCCCGUCAUGGCCCUGCUGUUGGGUCGUGACACCUUGAGUUCCUAAAUUGGUUCUAUCCUUUGUUUGGUUUUUGGUAUUACCCUUUCUGAUAAUACUGGUUUUGUGUAAAGAUGAAUGUGUCAUGUCGAAUUUUAGGCUGAGUUUGAUUUUGUUCCCUUCCCUAAAAUAACUGAGUUGAGUAGGAGUUUCGAAUACCUUGCCAAUAUGUGUUUUUUUUUUUGACAUUAUUUGGGAAUAGGAAAAGAGGGUAUUUAGGGUUGAACUUGUGUGAAUUCUUAGAGGCUUGAAUUGGCAUGGCUAUGAAUUUAUAUGAAACUAGUCCCUUACGUCAAAAAGCAUGGCUCAAUUUCUGGAGCAUGGAAGAAUAUAAAAGGGCGUGCAUUUGUUGUACACUUCAAGCAUAUCAAGUGCAUAUCUUUAUAUAUACCCAACUGUGUCAAAUUUUACAAGUUUGAAUAUCAUGUAUGUCUGUCUGUCUCAAUAUGUUGCUCUGCUUUGUUCGAGUUUCUUGUAUAAUAUGUAGCGGUACCUGCAUGUAUAUUUGGUAUAUACACCUCUAUUUUGACAUGAUCUUGGGUCUAUUUGAUGUAUGUAUGUAUAUGUUGGGUAUAUUGGGUAUAAAACCCAUGUAUACCUUUUAUAUAUAUGUGUGUGUGUGUGUGUGUGUGUGUGUGUGUGUGUGUAUCAGUGUGUAUAUUGAGUAUACUGAUCAUAUGUAUUGUAUUUGAAUGCCUUGUUGAGUUAAGGGGUUAGUUGGGCCUAUCCUUUAUUUGUCACUUCCUCAGAAUUCGUAUUGGGCUUGUAUAUGACUGAUCCUGUUUGUGUAUGGACCUGAGCUUUAUCUGUCAUUUGUUUUGCCCGCUUGGGCUUGUCACUGCACUUUAAUAAACUAGGUCUGUCUAUUUCUCUAUUUAAAAAAAUAUAGGAUGUACAUAUUUUAUUGAUUCCUGAUUAAAUGUUUAUAUUUCUUUAAGUAUUGAUUAAGUGAAUUACCAAGCAUAGAUGCCUUCUAACCGACAUUUUCCUUUCCCCCCCUCUUUUAUCUUGCAUGGAAAUACGACGGGCCAUUCGGGCAAUUCCUCAUCAGCCACUAUUGGGCCUAAAGCCCAACGUUCCUUCUUCAUCGAGUCCGCAUAAUAGAAGGCCCAACCAUGGGUGAAAAUGGCAACUAGUAGGCUUAGGUAGGCUCACUAGCCUAACUUAUCUCCUUUCAUUUUUAUAAAAUUGUAUAUGUACAUGUAUGUAAAGAAUGCUUGUAGAAUUAUUGGAACCCGAAUGGUUAGAAUUAGAUAAAUCGCGUAGAAAGGUUAGGAAA